UAUCCGCCAGAAAACUACGAGCGAAAAGCUUAAAACUCAAAGGACUUGGCGGUGCUCCAUACCGACUUAGAGGAGCCUGUCCUAUAAUCGAUACCCCACGCUAAACCUCACCAAUCUUUGCCAAACCAGCCUAUAUACCGCCGUCGUCAACCCACCUCAUGAGAGAAAAACAGUGAGUACAAAAGUUUAAUAACUAAAACGUCAGGUCAAGGUGUAGCUAAUAGAAUGGAAGAGAUGGGCUACAUUUUUUAAAAUAAAACAUAACGGNACGGUACUAUGAAACUCUUACCCAAAGGAGGAUUUAAUAGUAAAACUAACAAGAAAGUUAAUUUUAAACA
rnacentral:rRNA from 1 species